AACGAACGCUGGCGGCAGGCUUAACACGUGCAAGUCGAGCGCCCCGCAAGGGGAGCGGCAGACGGGUGAGUAACGCGUGGGAAUCUACCCAUCUCUACGGAAUAACGCAUGGAAACGUGUGCUAAUACCGUAUACGUCCUUCGGGAGGAAGAUUUAUCGGAGAUGGAUGAGCCCGCGUUGGAUUAGCUAGUUGGUGGGGUAAAGGCCUACCAAGGCGACGAUCCAUAGCUGGUCUGAGAGGAUGAUCAGCCACACUGGGACUGAGACACGGCCCAGACUCCUACGGGAGGCAGCAGUGGGGAAUAUUGGACAAUGGGCGCAAGCCUGAUCCAGCCAUGCCGCGUGAGUGAUGAAGGCCCUAGGGUUGUAAAGCUCUUUCACCGGUGAAGAUAAUGACGGUAACCGGAGAAGAAGCCCCGGCUAACUUCGUGCCAGCCGCCGCAGUAAGAC
rnacentral:rRNA from 1 species